CUGCUGCCAUGAUGCCGGCUGCAGUGGGGGAGGCACAGCCAUGGCUGUGUGCUCCCUGGAGCUGGCAGGAGCUGGGAACAG
rnacentral:miRNA from 10 species